AACGCGAAGAACCUUACCCAGAUUUGACAUGUAUUGGAAUUAUUCAGAAAUGAAUAAGCCCUUCGGGGCCGAUACACAGGUGCUGCAUGGCUGUCGUCAGCUCGUGCCGUGAGGUGUUGGGUUAAGUCCCGCAACGAGCGCAACCCUUAUCGUUAGUUGCCAACAGGUAAUGCUGGGAACUCUAGCGAGACUGCCUGGGUUAACCAGGAGGAAGGUGAGGAUGACGUCAAGUCCGCAUGGCCCUUAUAUCUGGGGCUACACACGUGCUACAAUGGUCGGUACAGAAGGCAGCGAAACCGCGAGGUGAAGCAAAUCCAAAAAGCCGACCCCAGUUCAGAUUGUAGUCUGCAACUCGACUACAUGAAGACGGAAUUGCUAGUAAUGGCGAGUCAGCAACAUCGCCGUGAAUACGUUCCCGGGCCUUGUACACACCGUACGUC
rnacentral:rRNA from 1 species